rnacentral:ncRNA from 1 species
UACCUGGUUGAUCCUGCCAGUAGUCAUAUGCUUGUCUCAAAGAUUAAGCCAUGCAAGUCUAAGUACGAGCUCUCGUACAGUGAAACUGCGAAUGGCUCAUUAAAUCAGUUAUGGUUCAUUUGAUCGUACAGUUUACUUGGAUAACUGUGGUAAUUCUAGAGCUAAUACAUGCGAGAAGCGCCGACCUCGCGGGAGGCGUGCAUUUAUCAGACCAAAAACCGGCCGCGUCUUCGGGCGCGUUCGCCUUGGUGACUCUGGAUAACUUUGCGGAUCGCACGGUCUAGCACCGGCGACGGAUCAUUCAAGUGUCUGCCCUAUCAACUUUCGUCGGUACGGUAUUUGCCUACCGAGGUUCUUACGGGUGACGGGGAAUCAGGGUUCGAUUCCGGAGAGGGAGCCUGAGAAACGGCUACCACAUCCAAGGAAGGCAGCAGGCGCGCAAAUUACCCAUUCCCGACGCGGGG